GACCUACAACCCCCAUGGUGCCAUGGCAACAAAAAAAGUGUAGAGGUGAGUAGAAACAAGAACAAGGUGACCUAAGCUGACUUCAAGACAAGAGUUUCAUCUGCAGCUUCCACUGUGGAUUUCUUUUUACCCUGGGGCCACUGUGACGCGCACACUGCUGUUUCUCUCUACAUGGGAUCCUGUGUCCUCUCCACCUUCUCAAUAAUUCAAUGGGAAGAGGAGACGUCAGCUCUGGUAUAAUUACUGUGAGGGUGACAAGCUCCUCUGUCAAGGGCAAGAUGGAACUGUGCUUUACAGUACUCGAGAGAGCUAAGAGACGCAGCAACAGUGUGUAGCGUGGCACAAAGCUUCAGCUGCCGGCCCGGGAGAUGAUGAAACUUCAGCGUGACAGAUUGCAGCCCAGAGGAAAACAUUGGGCAGCUGAGGAGCUGCAGCACAGACAGGUGAUUCCCUUCUAAUGGAUGUUAAUGUGGUGGACACGACGGAGGAUAUUCCCAGUGGUGUACACUUACAGUUAAUUGAUAAUUGAGGUCUAUGAAAAGAUGCACAUUAAAUCAUGGCCAAUGAGCCUGCCUAUAAGGUUGCAGCAAUUUAAAGAACAACUCUCUAGAGUCUCUUAAGGUUUCCUCACAACUGUAAUGCACUCUGAAUGAAUAAUUAAGGCGGAAAUAUGCUUAACUCAUAUUACCUUACUUAAGACAUUAUUAUUUCAAACAUGUACUGUAGCAUAUACAUGAUGUUGAAAUGCAUAAACACUUUCACCUACGCCAACUCCAGGUUGCUUCCUUCAUAACUCCUUAUGUUAAUGUUUGAUCUGAGCUUUCUAAUGAGCCCAUGUGUCUAGAUAUAAAUCUGUGAUUCGCUUGAGUUGAACGCUUUGUCAUAUUUUACCAUUAAUAAUCCUCAACAGGUUGCACAUGAAGCAUAUAUAUGUUUUUCCUGCUCUUUAUUACCAACUAGUACCAUACCAUAGAUAUGUGUCCGUUAGUAGAGGCAGUGCAUGAAAGCUUUUGAAUACACCACAUGCAUUUUAUAUUUACAGAUGCAAACACUCAUUUAAAACAUGUACUGCAUGUGCAUUUAUAAUGAGUUUUUGUAGCAGGGAGCCGGCAAUAGGAUGGAAAUCAUGAUAUUUAUAGCGAUUUGUCUUCAAAAUGAAUCUGUAUGAUCAUGCAAAUGUAUUGUAUGUACACACAUUCUCAGAAAUCAUACGUUUAAUAUAACAAAUAUACAUUUAGAUAUAAUGAUUCAAUAAUACAUUUCGUGCAAUAAGUUGUUUUCCACUGCCUCAUGACAUAAAGAAAAAUGUGUUCCUAGCUUGGAAUCAUUCAUUUAACCACGUCAAUGUAAAUAUAAAACCUCAUGAUGAAAAGUGUAUCAUAAUGUGUAUUGCUUAUACUUUUACUAUUAUUAUUUUUCUUUCAUCAUUAUUAUUGUUAUGUGCAUUGCUUCUUUGUCAUUAUGUGCUAUGGACAAAACUGAAAAGAAAGGAACAGAGUCAUCCUCACAUUUAAUAUAUUAGUGGAAUAAAGCGGAGUAACUUUGGUGCAUAUUAUUGAAUUAUAUAUAUAUAUAUAUAUAUAUAUGAUAUAUUAUUCACUAAAAGCAACAGACCUGGUGAAUGUGUGGUCGGAGGACUUUUGAAAACCAGGAGGACAUUUGUUCUUUGUUAUAACCUUUUGUUAAGCCAGCCUCUGUAUGAUGAAAGAAAACACCAAAUAAAUGCUGGUAAUCAUCUUGUCACAGGAAUCAAUAAAAAUAAAAAUCAUGAUGGUACUUUUACAGAAGAGACAGACAAGUGUUUUCUUUUCACAAGUGUUUUCUUUUCACUUCUUUUCUAUAUAGUUUUGCUGAGGCUUAGUUUGUCGGGGGACAUCUUACUUCUUCCUUCUCUCUGUCUAUACCUGUGUACUCUCAUGUUCCGAUU